GCGCUUGUAGCUCAGGGGAUAGAGCGACCGCCUCCUAAGCGGUAGGUCGCGAGUUCAAUUCUCGCCAGGCGCG
rnacentral:tRNA from 1 species